GACGUAGGGCGCGAGCGUUGUCCGGAUUUAUUGGGCGUAAAGAGCGCGCAGGCGGUCGUUCAAGUCGCGUGUGAAAGCCCCCCGGCUCAACUGGGGAGGGUCACGCGAUACUGAUCGACUCGAAGGCAGGAGAGGGAAGUGGAAUUCCCGGUGUAGUGGUGAAAUGCGUAGAUAUCGGAAGGAACACCAGUGGCGAAAGCGGCUUCCUGGUCCAGCACCGACGUUCAGGCACGAAAGCGUGGGGAGCAAACAGG
rnacentral:rRNA from 1 species